rfam:Brachypodium distachyon strain Bd21 chromosome 2, whole genome shotgun sequence.
AAUGUAUUCCCUCCGUCCCAUAUUAAGUGCAGAAAUAUUACAUGUAUCUACACGCUUUUUAGAUAUAGAUACAUUCUUAUUUGGACAAAUUUGAGUCACUUAAUAUGGGACGGAGGGAGUACUUC